GACCGAGCAGCGAAGUGGUAUCACGUCCGCUCAACUUUUAUGAGGAAAGGUUCCGCCAGAAGGCACCUGUUCGAUUCGGGUCUCGGUCA